rnacentral:rRNA from 1 species
UACGAAGGGGGCUAGCGUUGCUCGGAAUCACUGGGCGUAAAGGGUGCGUAGGCGGGUUUUUAAGUCAGGGGUGAAAUCCUGGAGCUCAACUCCAGAACUGCCUUUGAUACUGAAGAUCUUGAGUCCGGGAGAGGUGAGUGGAACUGCGAGUGUAGAGGUGAAAUUCGUAGAUAUUCGCAAGAACACCAGUGGCGAAGGCGGCUCACUGGCCCGGUACUGACGCUGAGGCGACG